rnacentral:rRNA from 1 species
AGUGAACGCUGGCGGUAGGCCUAACACAUGCAAGUCGAACGGCAGCACAGGAGAGCUUGCUCUCUAGGUGGCGAGUGGCGGACGGGUGAGGAAUACAUCGGAAUCUGCCCAGUCGUGGGGGAUAACGUAGGGAAACUUACGCUAAUACCGCAUACGACCUUCGGGUGAAAGAGGGGGAUCGCAAGACCUCUCGCGAUUGGAUGAGCCGAUGUCGGAUUAGCUAGUUAGCGGGGUAAUGGCCCACCAAGGCGACCAUCCGUAGCUGGUCUGAGAGGAUGAUCAGCCACACUGGAACUGAGACACGGUCCAGACUCCUACGGGAGGCAGCAGUGGGGAAUAUUGGACAAUGGGCGCAAGCCUGAUCCAGCCAUACCGCGUGGGUGAAGAAGGCCUUCGGGUUGUAAAGCCCUUUUGUUGGGAAAGAAAUCUUUCAGGCUAAUACCCUGGGAGGAUGACGGUACCCAAAGAAUAAGCACCGGCUAACUUCGUG